AUCGUCUUCCUCCCCUAGCCAGAUUCUGUGCGAGGCCUCUCUCUCAUCGCCUCGCUCCCUCUGCCCUUUCUUCUCUCCUGUGGCGCCGUAGUCCAUGGGAGCAGGGUUAGAAAAAUGUACCCAAUGUCAUCUCUCUCAAUCUCCUCCCUCUCAUGUACCUAGGCGAGGAUCUCCAGUAUAGAAGCUUAAUCUCGCCCUGUGUUCCUCUAAAUCGACUGUGCGCAUUGAUUUAUUUGGCAGCGAUGGCUCGUCAAUGUCCGCUGUCGGUCCGGGGCGUCGAUUCUACAGAGGUACAGGAGUUGAUGGUCUUCCGCGAUUCAACUAUGAAGGGACAUGUCAGGGAACUUCUCGAGAGUAAUAUCUUGAAAAAAAUUGGUUAACAGGGAGUUUGCGGACGUGCCUGCAGUAAAUUAUAUUUGCUGUGUUUUCUUCUGGUUCACUUUGUUGAUCUUAAAAAUGAUUCUGCACUUUGAUGUUCAAUUGAACUUUCUGAAAGCAUUACUAGUUCAUCUUAUUUAUGAAUUUUUUUCGUAUUGCAAUUCAUGUUCCAACAAUGCUUUUCGAAUCAACAAUACUGAUCUAGGGUACAUGUCCUGGAGUCAUCUUACCAAUUCUUGAUACAUGUAACUAUAGUACAUGUUAACUGUAAUUGGAGAUACUGAUUUCAGUAGAUGAUUCUUAACAGGGUGUGCAAGCGAGUUCGAGGCCCUGCGUCAUCCAGAAGGAACCAUGUUGUAAUUUCCCAUCUGCGCUAAUGCUCGAUCUACAAGUGCGACUGCUGGACGAGAUUUCUUUUGGCUGAUGAUUCUGCUUGUACGCUGGCCAGCCUAUGGCUAUCACUAUUUUUUUCCAAGUGUUUGUAGCCUGUGGCUAUCACUAUUUUUUUCCAAGUGUUUGUAAACUAAGUCUGAUGCUUGCGCCUGUGCUCACAUCCAAUAAAUCACUGUUUGUGCAA